rnacentral:lncRNA from 1 species
UUUUUUUUUUUUUUUUUUACUUUUUAGGGCUGUAUCUGCAUCAUAUGGAAGUUCCCAGGCUAGGGGUUGAAUCAGAGCUAGAGUUACCAGCCUACACCACACCCACAGCAAUGCCAGAUUUGAGCCACAUCUGUGAUCUACACUGCAGCUCAUGGUAAUGCUGGAUCCUUAACCCAUUGAGUUGGGCCGGGGAUCAAACCCACAUCCUCAUGGAUACUAAUCAUAUUCUUAACCUGCUGAACCACAAUGGGAACUCCACCUUGAGCAAUUUUAUGAUUAAAUCAUUUGCACCUUAGUUUUCUUACUGUUCAAUGGAAAAUAUAUUUACUUCUCUGGCUUACUGUAAAGAUUAAAUGAUAUUGAGAACUAUUACUUUUUAAGCAUCUUCUCUGUGCCUAGUACUCUAAUGGGGCACUGGCAGACAUGAUCACAUUUAAUUUUAAACCCAAAGAAGUAGGUGUUAUUAUCACUAAUUACUAGUGAGGAAACUGGGGACUUGAUAAGAUUUUAAAAACUUGUCUAUUUUCACAUAACUAUAAAGUGGAGAAGGUGAGUUGCAGACCAAUCUGUCUAUUCCUAAAGCUUGUGGUUAUCUCAGAUGCUGUGUCCUUUUUAAAUCACACCACUUCUCUAGACUAUACAGCAUUCUAGAAAUAUUGGGCAUUAUCUUUUGUACCCAAUUUGGAAAAUAAGGUUAUUUUAUUAUAAUUUAAUUGUUUAAAAUCAUGUACCUUAUGAAUGAUAGAGACGUCACUGUUAACCAGACCAUGAAACUGAUCAUACUGAUUUUGAGAGAAAGAAAUGAAUGUAAGUCAGUAGUGCAGUUGUUGAUUAUUAUUGAUUGAUUCCUGUUGCCACACAGGCUAGGGCUUGUAUGCCCAGAAAGGCAUAUUGACCUCACUUGUACCUUUCUUUCAACCUAGCGUCACCAUCCCUUCCCCCAUCACCAGGGAAGAGCAGAGAAAAUACAGGACAUGUCUAUAUCCAUCUGUGUCUGAUCUGUGAAGAUGGCUUUUUGAAAUAGAAGUCAUCUUUUGGAUAAGAUCAAAUUGAAGCAGAUUAAAUUUUUAUUUGCUUUGACAUAGAUUGGGAUCAGUGAUGUGAUUUUUUUUUCCCCCUCCCAUGUAGGGAAGAGAACGAAAAUCAUCUUGAUAAAUCUUGACUUUCUUCAAGGUGUUCAGGAGCUUUCUCUUUGGAAAAAACAACAGGCUGUUAUGAUUCAGAGCUUACACCCUAAAGUUGAAAACUUCUGCUUGUAUCCUAAUGCUACUAGUGGAUUUUGAUGGGAGAAAACGUUCUAUUCCUGUAUUCAACAGUUUAUUCCUUGACCUGACAAUUUGUGCUGUGGAUACAUCAGGGGGAGCAAAACAAAGUCCUUGUUCUUAAUAGAGUUCACAUUCUAGUGGGAGAGAGACAGACAAUAAAAACUCAAGAUACAAUAUGUUGAGAGAUAAUUUGGUAUGUCACAGAGGAAAAGAAAGCAGGGACAGGGAAAAGAAGUGUGCAAGGGGGUGUGAUUUGAAAGAAGGUUCUCAGGGAAGUCUUCUCUGAUAAAGUGACAUAUGGCAGAAACCUGAAGAAAGUGAGAAACUGAGUCAUUUGGCUCAGAAGGGAAAGAAUUUUCCAGGCAUUGGGCACAGAAAAGGAAAAGGUGCUGGGCUUUUUGUAGCAUGUUUUAGGAACAGCCGUGAGACCUGUGUGGCUGAAGUGAAAUGUUAAAGUGAGAGUGUAGCAGAAGGGGCUGGGGAGUAACCCAUUUGCUGAUCACUCAUUGCUUCCAUUGUAAGGAUCUGGCUUUUAUCCAUAGUCAGAUUGGAAAAUGUUGGAGGCUUUUGAACACAAGAUAUUAUGAUAUAAUUUCAAUUUUGAAAUGACCACGGUAUUGGGUACCAGGACAGAAUGAGUCUUUCGGAGCAGGAGGAGGAAGAAGCAAGAGAUCACUGGUGGAAAUAGCAUAGUAAUCUGAGAGUUGGUGGUAACUUUUGCAGAGAGGUUGCUGUGGGAAUAAUAAGUAGCUGUCUUCUAGGUAAAGUUUAAAGAUAGAGACAAGGGGAUUUCCUAUGAUAAGUGAAGGAAAGUGAGGAUUCAAAGAGCACUCCAAGCAAGUAAAAGAAUAGAGUUUUCACUUACAUAUGUGGGGGACAUGUGGGAGGAGGACAUUUUGCGUGGAAAUGCAGAAAUUUGAUUUUUAACAUGUUAGGGUGUGAGAUUGAUGCUUAUAAGGGGUUUAAGUGGAAAUGUUUUGUAAGUGAUUGAAUAUGUAAGUAUGAAGAUUAGGGGAAAGUCAGGCUAGGAAUUAGAAUUUGUGAGCUAUGUAUAAAUAAUUUGUAAGGUCUUGAGACUCAUUUAGGCAGUAAGUACCUACAAAGAAGAGAUUUAUAAUUGAGCUAUGGGCAGUCCAAUAUUUAAAGAUUUAGAAGAUAAUGAGUCAGCAAAGGAUAUCAAAAAUACUCUGUAGAAUUACACACACACACACACAGACACACACAUACACACAUCUUCUUUUCUAGGAAAUCUGAUUUAAGAAGUAGGAGUCAGUCUUUGAGAAGGAUUAUGCUGAUUUUUUUUCACAGUACUAAGAAACUCAAGGAGGAAGGGUCUCUGACAGGAAAAGGACCUCUGCUCAGUCCUGCUUGGACCAACAAAUUAUUUGGAAUGGGGUGAAGAUGUAGUGUAUGAUAUGAUAUUUGAUAGUAAGAAAAGAUGGAAACAUGGUUAGAAAAGAAAACAAACUUUCAUAAUGUUAGUCUUGUGAAUAUUAAUAUCUGCUUUUUGAAAAAAAUUAGUAACUCUACAAAUGAAUAAAAGAAAUAAAAUAUACCAGUUCUACUACACUGAGAUACUACUGCUAAUAUUUUGGUGGAGUUUUUUCUAGUUUUUUUUCAUAGCACACAUCUUAAAAUUAUUAUUAUGUUAUAUGUAAUUAUUGUAAUUUGCUUUUUAAUUUUCUGUUAAUCAAAGUUGGGGGAGAUUCAUUCUUCAUAUUUUGACAAGAGGAGAGAGAUAUCAAAGAGAAGAUUGCUAGUUUGAGAAAUAUCUGGAUAUCUACCAGUAAAGGAGAAAGAUGACUAGAUGUAUAUAUGUGAGAGACAGAACAAGGAUAAUUCUAGACUUGGUUACUUGUGUGUCUUGGUAACUGUGCUACCCAUGAGGACUGAGAAAACCAGACUGACCCAAAGAUUUUCUUAUUUUAAUUUCAGGGUAGAUUCCAGACUUUGUUUGGAGAAUUGUUGAUUUUUCAUAACUAGAUAUGGCAUAAACUAAAAGGAAAAGAUAUUUGGAAAGGUUUUGGUUGAUAUCAAUUUAUGUAAACAGACAAUGAAAUUAAUUAGUGACACAAAGCAGGUUGUUUUACUAAAUUACUUGGUUUGGCUUUCCCCACUAAGGAAAGAAAAAAAAAUUACCAUAUGUUCCCUAUAUUUUUCAUGUUAUGGGUGUCCAAUAUAGGGAAAUAUACCACCAAAAUAUAAUAUAGAUACUUUUUCCAUAAGUCUGUGAAAAUUGUGAAAAGUCAUUUUAGUUUAUCAGUAAAUUAUUAUGAACAUGACCCCAGCAAAGUAAUUUUUCCUGUUGAUAAUUUUGAUCUCAUGUGUUACCUUAAAAAUAAAUGUUUGAUGCUAUUAGAUUCAGAAGAUAUUGUUAAAACCAGAGCUAGUAAAAGUCCUUUGCAAAUGAAUGAAAUUAAUGACAACAAUAGAAACAAUAUUCAGUUGUAAACUUCUGACAACAGUAAGUAAAAUAUGUGUGUAUUUCUGUUUAUGCAUUAUGAGCUCUCUAUAUAUGAGUUCUUAACUGGUGAGCACAACCGGCUAGAGAAUGGGACUUUACAAGGUCAAGGUCACACAUUCCACUGGCCACACAGAAACAUAAAACGAUGUCAUAGCCAUCAGUUGCAUCAGAAAUUCUAUACAGUCAUUUCAUGGACAUGUGCUCUUGGUCACAUAAAGAUUAGCCAAGAGAGUUUGGCUGGUUCUGUAGCAAUCAUCAUACUAUUAGGAAAAAUGGACACACAACUCUAAGCACUGAUGCCGCACACUAUAGGGUAAUGAUUUCAACUUUGCACAUUUGUGAAUGGCAGUAUGCACACAGAAGCUCACAAAUGUAUAAACUCAACUGCAUCACAGAAGAAAAAAAGCUCUGUUUAGUUUUGAUUCUGGUAUUUAGCUGAAAACAUACUAUACUUGUCUUUUGCUUUUUAUUUCUACUUAAUACUGCAUUAAUAUAGAUCUUUAAAGAUACAUUUGAAGAAUAUUACAUACCUUUAUAAAUAUACAAUUAUUUUACAUAUCUUUGCCAUUCAUCACAAACAGAUCAAUGAAUCAUAACAUAGUCUUUCAAAAUCUAAAACAACAUCUUUACAUCUUGGAGUUUGUGAAAUAACACAACACUGAGAAAUUUACUCACUAUGUUUCUGCCACUUCACAUUGAGGGUCACAUGCAAUGACAAAUACUGAAACUUGCACCACAGAUCAAGUUGGAGAAACACUGUUUUUUGAUCAUUGCAUUUUUGCUUAGAAAAAAAUCUCAGGCUAUGAUUUCCUGACAUUUCCCUUUCUGAUGAGCUGUUCUGAUUCCAUAAUAAAGUACAAAGCAGUGUAAGUGCCCCUGCAGAUCCACUCAUUAUCCACUGGACUUUGGAACCCAAGUACCCCUCUCAUCUUUCAAGGGGAAUUGUUCUUUUAUUCUGCUC